GGGCGUGUGGUCCAGCCUGGUUAAGACACCGCUCUCACAAAGCGGGAAUCGAUGGUUCAAAUCCGUCCACGCCCACCA
rnacentral:tRNA from 1 species